GUUUCUUCGUUCUCUUGGAUUGUUCCGAUCUUUACUCGUACGUUCUUACAAGAAAUCGCAACGCAAUCAACGUUGAAGAUGAUGAUUGCUAUGAAAUGAAGUAGCGAUGAUACCUAGAAACACAUUUAGACGUGUUAGGUUUAAUAUGAUUUGAUGUUUUUAUGUUUGAACAUGUUGUAUUUGGAUUUUAUGUAAUGUUUGACAAUUUGAAAUUCAUGAAAUGAAAUGGGUUUAUUUAAA